rnacentral:rRNA from 1 species
UAGCUUGCUAGAAGAUGACGAGUGGCGGACGGGUGAGUAAUGCUUGGGAACUUGCCUUUGCGAGGGGGAUAACAGUUGGAAACGACUGCUAAUACCGCAUAAUGUCUUCGGACCAAACGGGGCUUNGGCUCCGGCGCAAAGAGAGGCCCAAGUGAGAUUAGCUAGUUGGUAAGGUAACGGCUUACCAAGGCGACGAUCUCUAGCUGUUCUGAGAGGAAGAUCAGCCACACUGGGACUGAGACACGGCCCAGACUCCUACGGGAGGCAGCAGUGGGGAAUAUUGCACAAUGGGGGAAACCCUGAUGCAGCCAUGCCGCGUGUGUGAAGAAGGCCUUCGGGUUGUAAAGCACUUUCAGUUGUGAGGAAAAGUUAGUAGUUAAUACCUGCUAGCCGUGACGUUAACAACAGAAGAAGCACCGGCUAACUCCGUGCCAGCAGCCGCGGUAAUACGGAGGGUGCGAGCGUUAAUCGGAAUUACUGGGCGUAAAGCGCACGCAGGCGGUUUGUUAAGCUAGAUGUGAAAGCCCCGGGCUCAACCUGGGAUGGUCAUUUAGAACUGGCAGACUAGAGUCUUGGAGAGGGGAGUGGAAUUCCAGGUGUAGCGGUGAAAUGCGUAGAUAUCUGGAGGAACAUCAGUGGCGAAGGCGACUCCCUGGCCAAAGACUGACGCUCAUGUGCGAAAGUGUGGGUAGCGAACAGGAUUAGAUACCCUGGUAGUCCACACCGUAAACGCUGUCUACUAGCUGUGUG